GCUGAGGGAACAUAGGGCUGAGGGAACAUAGUGCUGAGGGGAACAGAUGCUGAGGGAAGAUAGGGCUGAGGGAACAUAGGGCUGAGGGAACAUAGGGAUAGUGCUGAGGGAACAUAGGGCUGAGGGAACAUAGGGCUGAGGGAAGAUAGGGCUGAGGGAACAUAGGGCUGAGGGAACAUAGGGCUGAGGGAACAUAGGGCUGAGGGAACAUAGGGCUGAGGGAACAUAGGGCUGAGGGAACAUAGGGCUGAGGGAACAUAGGGAUAACCCUGUGAAAAGUCUGCUGUGGAAAACAACAAGCAGAAUCA
ensembl:lncRNA